GAAAAGUUGGAAAAAACCCUAAACAUUGUGACGUUACCUAUACCGUUGCUUCGGCGGGCGGCCCCGGGGUUUACCCCCCGGGCGCCCCUGGGCCCCACCGCGGGCGCCCGCCGGAGGUCACCAAACUCUUGAUAAUUUAUGGCCUCUCUGAGUCUUCUGUACUGAAUAAGUCAAAACUUUCAACAACGGAUCUCUUGGUUCUGGCAUCGAUGAAGAACGCAGCGAAAUGCGAUAAGUAAUGUGAAUUGCAGAAUUCAGUGAAUCAUCGAAUCUUUGAACGCACAUUGCGCCCGCCAGCAUUCUGGCGGGCAUGCCUGUUCGAGCGUCAUUUCAACCAUCAAGCCCCCGGGCUUGUGUUGGGGACCUGCGGCUGCCGCAGGCCCUGAAAAGCAGUGGCGGGCUCGCUGUCGCACCGAGCGUAGUAGCAUACAUCUCGCUCUGGUCGCGCCGCGGGUUCCGGCCGUUAAACCACCUUUUAACCCCAAGGUUGACCUCGGAUCAGGUAGGAAGACCCGCUGAACUUAAGCAUAUCAAUGAGCGGGAGGAAAGU
rnacentral:rRNA from 1 species